rnacentral:rRNA from 1 species
GUGUCAGCCGCCGCGGUAAGACGAACCGUCCAAACGUUAUUCGGAUUCACUGGGCUUAAAGGGUGCGUAGGCGGCCCGGAAAGUUGGGUGUGAAAGCCCUCGGCUCAACCGAGGAAUUGCGCCCAAAACUACCGGGCUCGAGGAAGACAGAGGUAAGCGGAACUUAGGGUGGAGCGGUGAAAUGCGUUGAUAUCCUAAGGAACACCAGGAGCGAAAGCGGCUUACUGGGUCUUUUCUGACGCUGAGGCACGAAAGCUAGGGGAGCGAACGGGAUUAGAUACCCCGGUAGUCCUAGCCGUAAACGAUGAGCACUGGGUUGGAGGGUCCCCCAUAACCUUCUAGCCGUAGCGAAAGUGUUAAGUGCUCCGCCUGGGGAGUAUGGUCGCAAGGCUGAA